CCUCAUGUUAGCUUUUGUGCAGUGACUUACAGCAACAUAGCACACAAACAAUAAUAAUAAUAGAAGAAGCAGGAGAGAGAAUACCACGUGCAAGACUUUUUACCAGACCAUGCUCCAAUCCAUAUAGCUCUAUUAUCAGGACAAGGCGGCCUUCGUAUGAUUCACAAAACAUAGUGUCUCUUGUCACUGUACCUGAAAAAGUCUCCUGGCAGUGAGUGUUUCAGCUAAAACAUAUUCUAUUAGACACCUACAAAAGAAACCCAAAAAAAGAUGACCCCAUUCAUGGUAAAAUGUGGAGGAAAAGUAAUGGUAGAUCAUCUCACCACUGUUUGGUGUUUUUUUUUUGGAUGUAAAAGCAUUUCUAUACUUUAGUCCUCAUGCUGUUAUCACAAGAAAGCUAUAGUUUUCUGAAUCAGUUAACAUACUUUUAAGCAAAUCAAAACUGAUUCACUAACAUAGUGGUGGUAACUCUCAUGGUUGAACACAGGAAACUAAGAUUUGAAAGAGUGACAAAAGACCUGAAGGUCACAAGAGUCAUAUCGACAUUGGUGGAGGAGAUGAAGGCCAUUCGCAUUGGAACCCAUGAUGAAUCCCACUGCACUGAUGUGAUGGUUCCGGCAGCCGUUGCUGAUCGGAGCCCUGUUCUUCUUCUGAUGGGUGGUGGGAUGGGAGCUGGCAAGAGCACUGUGCUCAAGGAAAUACUGAAGGAGUAAGUUCUUUAAUUCUUUUAACAUCACACUAAAUUAAAACAGACCCAAAAUGUAAUAAGGGAAUGAUAAAGAACAGAGAUUAAAAAGUACAAAAACCAUCACCAAGUAAACCAACUUUAAAGAAGCUUUCAUUUGAUGUUCAGAUUAUAUACAGUAUGCCUGGCACAAAGUAGCAGUCAUACCAUGUGCAUCUUAAAACCAGGGGUACAUAUAUAAAGUAGUAAUAAUUACUAGUUUCUUGUCAUUGAAGCAGUUCAUCCUAGCAUAUUCAUUCUAACAGUAUAAUGAACUAAAACUUGGCGAAAUACCAACUCCAUGACUGUAAUUUCAAUAAAGUGGUAUUAAAAAAUAAAUGAAAAAAGACAUCGGUUAGUUAGAGACCAGAAGCAAAAUGACACUUGGUGGAAAAAAAAAAGGUAAAAUAAAUUAUAAAUUAAAAAAAAUAAAUCACUGCCUGGACAGGCAUCUCCAUUGUUGGGUAGCACUAUUAGACAUAUACCAGUAUAUCAGAAUAGUUGAUUAUUAAGGUAUGGUCUGAGUAGAAGAGUUAAAAACAGCUAAGAUGACAGGUGGGAUGCCCAAAUGUCCCAUGUCCUCCACUCAAACAACCAAGAUCAAAAGGACAGUAAUGGUUCUAGGUCACAUUCAAACUAAACAAGUUAAAAAACUUCAGAUCAACAAUGUAUCUAGUUAGAUAUAUCUGAUCCUGAUAUGACUGGAAAAUACCAUAUUUGUAUCUGCUUUUCAUCAGUUAGAUAUGCAUAGUCUUUUAUCAUGAUACGUUGUUACCCACAUAUCAGAGCCUUCUGGUCUGGCGCUGCAGCAAACACAGUGGUGGUUGAAGCUGAUGCGUUCAAAGAGACGGAUGUCAUUUAUCGAGCUAUCAGCUCCAGAGGUCAUCAUGAUGACAUGCUCCAGACUGCUGAACUGGUAUUCCUCUCUCUACUGUUCUUUGUUUAGAGAUUUUAUUCCUUAACUCUUCUGCUUUCAGUUGUUCUUCUAGAGGAAAACAUAUAUUAAAUAUACAUUAAGAUAGUUAAAGCAUCAAAAUCCCAUUUGCUUUGCUUUGAAACAUUAGAAACUGUUCCUGAAAAAGAUUAUGACAUCAGCAUCAAGAAAAAAAAAACUACAAUUGAUGUAAUAAUAUUUUUCUUAUCUACUCUAUGUCUCGGCCUGUCUGUCUGUAAUCAAUUUAUUUGGUCCCCAUAGAAAAUUCCUAUUUUAUUAGUCUAUUCUUUCGUUAUUUCUCUGUGCCCUCAUUUUCUUGAAUUCAAACCUACAGGAAAAUUUUAUGAUUGCUCUUUGUUUGCUUGAACUGCUCUAACAAGAUACUUAUUAUUGCCAGCAAACUAGAUUCCACAAUGAUUUUUUUACUUAUAUUUGCCUUAAUUAAAAAGUUGACUCAAACUUGAGAGGAUUGACUCCCAAUUAUGAAAUUAUUAGAAAAAAAUAGAUUUACUCUAGUGUCAUUUCAAAGUUGAGUGAUGCUACAUAACUAAUAUCAUAACUCUUAGAUAACAAUGAUGAUUAACAGAAUAAUGAACACUUUUGCAGAAAUAUAAACAAACAUGAUUUUUUUUUCUAACUAGUCCAGGAGCUAAAGACAAACCUUCCGCUUGGAGCUUAUACACCACAUAUCACAUACUCCAUGACUAUCAAAUCUUCCGAAAUAGGGAGGACAGACUUCUGAUUCAGCCUAGAUGUGUAAUUUCCUUCGAGUAUGGAUCUGAUUCUGAGUUCAUUCAAUCUUAGACUAGAUUCAGUUCCAUUAAUCUAUGCCUACAAUCUAGUUAAACAUGGGUUCUCUGAAAUCCAUAUCAGAUCAGAUAUCAUCAACAGAGUUUAGAGAAUAUAGAUCAAUAUCUCCAACAUCAAUCAGUAAAUAAUCUGAUGUCAUCCUUGUCCUCCUCAUGGUCUAAGCUUCCAGAAUAAACUGAGCUCACACAACAAUUACAAGCAGGUCCAUCAGUCAUCGACAGACGCAGCUUCCUCUCUACUCGUGACGGCGCUGAAUGAAGGUCGAGAUGUGAUCAUGGAUGGCACUCUCUCCUGGGAACCAUUUGUUCAGCAAACCAUAGCCAUGGCACGGAAUGUACAUCACCAGCAGUAUCGGAUGGGAGCUGGAUACAAGGUUGCUGAUGAUGGGACCAUCACAGAGAACUACUGGGAACCGGUGGAGGACAACCAAGAGAACAAUAAGUGCAGUACAAGGAAGCCUUACAGGAUAGAGAUGGUUGGAGUUGUUUGUGAUGCCUACCUAGCAGUAGUCCGAGGAAUCAGGUACGACUCUAAAAAAACCCUACUCUUGAAUCAAACCCAAACGUAACAAUUUAUGCCUUGGGAGGUUCAUGCACCUAAAUUGAAUAUAUAUAUAUAUAUAUAUAUAUAUAUAUAUAUAUAUAUAUAUAUAGGAUUUCUUGGGUCAUAAAUACUGGAUAACUAACAGAGAUGAAUAGAGACAAUCAAUGUGGACAGGAGAAGUACAUUGGCUAGUUGUUCUAACCUGAAAUUUUCGACCAUAAGGUCAGUGAGCUGAAAGUUUCCAAGCUCAACUCUAUGAUGUCAAUGACAGGAGAGCUAUAAUAAUGGGUAGAGCAGUUAGAGUAAAAUCCCAAUUGAAGUCUCACCAAAGGUUUGCUAAUGCCUUUCCAAGAUAUUGUCAACUUGUUGACAAUGCCAGGCUCUACUCAACCAACUCCAUGGGAUCUGCUAAGGUUUCUUCCUCUCUCCAUUUUUUUCACUUAAAAAAAGAGCAACAUUCAGCCACCAUGAUAUCUUGAUACAGGGUAAUAUAGUAUUGGCUUUCAUGCUGUCUGCAGCUGAUAGGUUGGAAGGAUGGAAGCAGCAACCUAUUGGUAGACCCACAGGAGAUCAUCUGUCUGGAGAAGCUGAGCAAAGUAAAUGAGGAUGCUAAUUCAAUCUAUCAACUCUACCCACAGGAAGAUACUAGCUCCGGGUCUGGUUUCAUUUGGGAUGAUAUGGUGAUGUCACCAACAAGAGAAUCAAUCCAGCAAGAUCUUAAGGAAGCUAUUAAAAGGAUCGAAAGUCCUGCAUCAUGAUGAAAACUGCCAGAAGUCACCACCUCCCCUGUCAACGUCGGAUAUAGAUCAUCAAUAUGAUUGAAGCAAGCUAUAAAAAUCAUACAGAUCAGUGUCAAAUCUCUAAUUAUCAGCCAGAGUUCUAUUGUGCAGAUCCUUUACCACAACAACCAAAUAACAGUAGUAAUGAACUGUCUCUAUCAAGGAAUAGUAGCUCAUCACAUUUUGGCUUCUAAAUCUUUUUUUCACAUUCUGAUUCUCAUAGCAAAUAAGGGAAAUCCUAGUGACAUCUGACAUCAAACCAUGAAAGUUCUAAUUUAAAAACAUAAAUCCAAAUCCUAAGGACACCUACCAGGUAUGUUUUAGUCUGUCAAAAAUUCUAAAACUGAAGAGUCUAAAGUCAGACUCAUAAUAUGCAAAUAAUAGAACAAUGACAUUAUAAUUCUUCGCCCACCAGGGCAUGUCAAACUACUUAAAUAGAAUCCUAAAGUUCAAAACAGCAGCUAACCCUCAUGUAAUAAUGAAAAUGAACUGAAUAAUGUUGCAAUAUGAGUUCAACAAUUGGUAUCAAUGAAAUCAAUUUUUCACAAAACUUGCAUUUUAAAAGUCAAAAGAAAAAUGUAGCUUUCAACCAUUUCAAGUAAAUAUUCAAUCUUUUUAAAAUGUCAUAUGUGCCUGAAAUAUGAAAAUAGAUGGGGAUGUUAGCAUUCAUAUCUAAUAAUUUGCAUGAGAGCCUUUACCAAAUUAAAUACUCAAGAUGAAUGCCAAACAAGAAUAAUUGUCUCCAAACAAAGGCAGAAAUGCCUAAAAGUUCAAUUUCCAAGCAUAGUUUUCAAAAUACAAUAUCCAAAAUAAACUUCCUCGCACCAUAGUAUAAUCAAUAAAUUAAAUCACCCUGACCUGUAUAAACAAUAAGUGCAACAACUGACAACAGACUAGAGGACCCAGGAAACUUGCUGCUACAUAAUUAGCAAAAAAAAGACAAUAAAUUCAAAAAUCAAAUAUGCUAAAUGCUUGCCAUGUGCAUUCCUUGAUACAGAUGGGGACUGAUUCUAGAAUUAGCCAAUGAAUGAUCCUGUAUUUUAAUGUA
rnacentral:lncRNA from 1 species